UACGUAGGGGGCUAGCGUUGUCCGGAAUCAUUGGGCGUAAAGCGCGUGUAGGCGGUCCGGUAAGUCCGCUGUGAAAGCCGGGGGCUCAACCCUCGAAUGCCGGUGGAUACUGUCGGGCUAGAGUGCGGAAGAGGCGAGUGGAAUUCCUGGUGUAGCGGUGAAAUGCGCAGAUAUCAGGAGGAACACCAAUGGCGAAGGCAGCUCGCUGGGACGUAACUGACGCUGAGACGCGAAAGCGUGGGGAGCGAACAGG
rnacentral:rRNA from 1 species